rnacentral:rRNA from 1 species
UGCCUCAGUAACGGCGAGUGAAGCGGCAAGAGCUCAAAUUUGAAAUCUGGCUCCUUCGGGGCCCGAGUUGUAAUUUGGAGAGGAUGCUUCGGGCGUGGCCCCCAUCUAAGUGCCCUGGAACGGGCCGUCAUAGAGGGUGAGAAUCCCGUCUGGGAUGGGUGGUCCCGCCCGUGUGAAGCUCCUUCGAAGAGUCGAGUUGUUUGGGAAUGCAGCUCUAAGAGGGUGGUAAAUUUCAUCUAAAGCUAAAUAUUGGCCGGAGACCGAUAGCGCACAAGUAGAGUGAUCGAAAGAUGAAAAGCACUUUGAAAAGAGAGUUAAACAGCACGUGAAAUUGUUGAAAGGGAAGCGUUGGCAACCAGACUCGCCCGGGGGGGCUCAGCCGGCACGUGUGCCGGUGCACUCCCCCCCGGGCGGGCCAGCGUCGGUUUGGGCGGUCGGUCAAAGGCCCCGGGAAUGUAGCACCCUCCGGGGUGCCUUAUAGCCCGAGGCGCCAUGCGACCUGCCCGGACCGAGGAACGCGCUCCGGCUCGGACGCUGGCGUAAUGGUUGUCAACGGCCCGUCUUGAAACACGGACCAAGGAGUCUAACAUCUAUGCGAGUGUUCGGGUGUCAAACCCGUCCGCGCAGUGAAAGCGAACGGAGGUGGGAACCCUCUCGGGGGUGCACCAUCGACCGAUCCUGAUGUCUUCGGAUGGAUUUGAGUAAGAGCAUAGCUGUUGGGACCCGAAAGAUGGUGAACUAUGCCUGAAUAGGGCGAAGCCAGAGGAAACUCUGGUGGAGGCUCGCAGCGGUUCUGACGUGCAAAUCGAUCGUCAAAUUUGGGUAUAGGGGCGAAAGACUAAUCGA